UUAAAUAUCACGUAAAAAAUACCCCGUCCAAUUUCUCGGGGACAAUAAAAAGAACCGAAAAUAAAUCUUCCACGGUAUACUACCAUGAUUGAGAUAAGACGAUAGUGAAAGAUGUAGUGAGUGUAAAUUUAAACGAUUAUAUACAAAAAAAUUUGUACUAUAGAUGCAUAGACUCUUAAAAAUAAACACCCAUUCCUAAGACAUAUAACUAUACUACAUAUUCUUUCUUUCUUGAAUAACUGAAUAAACCUCUAAUCGAUACAUCAUAUCCUGACACUAAAGGACGUUUUUUAUCAUAUCCUGACACUAUAAAAUUCUUAAGUGUUCUUCAUAAACCAUACAGGUGUAAAUAUACUAUGUAUCAGUACGUAUAGAGUAGAGAAAAGGACUAGUUUACUUCGUGUCCAGCACCAUUGAAAUAGUCAAGGAAUGUAGAUAAACACAUUACAGCUAAGUCCUUUACUUUUUGAAUUACACCGACCUCAAGAUGCGCCUAAUUUAGAUUAAUAGGAAUAUAAAGUUGAGGUUACUGAGCCGGAGUGUACAUCUUACGCCAAAACCCGUACACAAAGCCAAGUAAGCCAAAGCUGCCUUAGUUUCCAGUCCUUUUUAUAUAUCCACAAUCAAGUAAUAGAAAAGUCCAAAGAAUUAAUAAGUAUGUAAACGUAGAUACAAUGUCCACAAUCGAAAGUACCGAUCCUAAAAAAAUCGUAUAAGUUUAGACAUAAUCUUAUUCCAAAGGGGGAACCUACAAGGAAUACAUAGGUAUAUAAUCUAAAAAACACACCAAGUAAACAACGUUUAUAUAUUUAUUAUUAGACUAACUGAUAUACGUCUAAACCGAACUUUAGAAGUUCGUCAGAGACUGUUCAACAUCCACUUCUUCUAGUACAGGAUCCUCAAUAUACGUGCACCUCAUGUAAAUAACAUACGUAAAACAAAUCUUCAUAAGUCAAAGUAUCGUAUUAGUUCACAAAAAGUUAUGAGAGAGAGAGUGUGUGUGUGUUUUACAGAAAUUAAAGACAAAAAAAUUACAUAACCGGAGACUUACUAGACGUACCAUAUAUAGAUAUAGCGACUUACUGGAGCUGAACAUGGAAACACCAAACGUUUGUGAUUUUGUACACAACGAUGUCUCAAUAGAAUUAAAAUUGCAACUAGCCACGUCCACCCAAGAGUACCAUCCUAAACUAGGUGAGCCUAUAGUUACCAUGACUAUGAAUUCAACCGAAAGAAAUUUUUUUAUUUCAUACAGGACACAAUCAAACCCGCGUUCGGACAUAGUACUUAUGUAUGACGAGUGUCACGUAAACGUACUCUUCGGGAAGUGUUCUUUUUUGAUAUGUAAGUGUAAAAAAAGACGCCUUUGAUAUAUAAAUGAAUAAUAAGUCUCGAGCGACAUAUUUUAGGCUCACCACGAGUUCUACAAUUAAUUGAUCGAAACACUUACCCCACCACUUUUUAUGACGAGUGAAAUAAACAAACCAGCGUUCGGAUAUAGUACAUGUGUAUGACGAGUUAAAUAAACUUGGAAGUCUUUUAUUUAGUUAAACGAGUUCGGAAAGACGACAACUAAGGUCAAGUAACCUCAUUGAAAUCAUAAAGAAGAGUAACGUAGUCAAUUGUACUUACGUUUUAUUUAAACAACAGAAUACGCUAGGGCAUAGUCCCUACUACGGUGAUUCAACAAUAUUAAUACGAACAUCAGGAACAGCCUCAAACCCAUGACGUGAAAUAUUACGUUUCCUUACCAUAUUUGAUAUCGACCAAGAAAGUACAUCAUACGGAAAAAGAUAUUACAUUCAAUACCUACGCCAUGAAGAAGCUUUGGAAGUAUUACGAAAAACAGUACGUUGUUGAACGAUUGUUCAGGACCAGACAACGUCAACUAACGUGUACACCUCCCGAAGACCUACGUAAAUAACAGAGUACAGUGUUCCUAAAUGUUGAAAAUGCUCUUACGCCCACAUCUCAUAACUAUUAAGGUCUACCGAGUGAAGGAUGUUAUCUCGUGGGAUGUCAUGAUAGUUAAUAAGUCAGUCUCUUGGUGUGAUACGACUUAUAUAACCACCUAGUCCAUGUAGCUAUUCGUGGGUUACAAGUCAGUCUACUUCUCUCACUUUUAUAUAACCACCUAGUCCAUGUAACUGUUCGUGGGUUACAAGUCAGUCUACUUCUCUCACUUUUGUCGCAAAUGAGACUUAAAAGUCUGUCUCACCGCUACGUCGACCUUCAAACUCCGUGACCUAAGGGGGACUGCCUCCUUGUUAGUUCAAUUUAAAUCUACGAAGUAAGAAACGACUCUGAACCUCCUCGAUAUAGCCCCGGUAGCGGC
rnacentral:rRNA from 1 species